ACAAACAAAUAAAUUCACCAAACCAAUUUAAGUUGAACAACAAUAUAAAUAAGCUUUCACUCAAAUGCCACCUUCUUGAACCUGUACAACACCUUCUUCUUCUUGGAGCUUUGAUUAAAGAAAGUAAGCACCACUUUCCCUGUUUCUCCACACUUAAACCUCCCACAAAUCACCGAUUCGUCGCCGGUAACCUUUCGCGACUUCUGAACAAUAACUGUAUACCCAUCUUCUGCACUCGGCACGAAUUCCGCCCCAUAAGAAACAUCACAUCCUAUUCCCACCACUCUUGCUUCCCAUACCAAUGUACACGCCUAAAGAGCCGGGAGCUCGAUCACGUGCUCACAAGAAGGCUUGAUGAAGUCCUCUGUGAUGCAGUCACUUGUGGUAAAUUCUUGUUCACCUUCCCUGCUAAGCCCACCAUAUUGAACUGGAACCAGCUCAGGUGAUAU
rnacentral:lncRNA from 1 species